rnacentral:tRNA from 2 species
GGGCAGAUUCCAGAGCGGUCAAAUGGGGGGGACUGUAAAUCCCUUGUCUACGACUUCGGGGGUUCGAAUCCCUCUCUGCCCACCA